rnacentral:rRNA from 1 species
AGCGAACGCUGGCGGUAGGCCUAACACAUGCAAGUCGAACGGCAGCACAGUAAGAGCUUGCUCUUACGGGUGGCGAGUGGCGGACGGGUGAGGAAUACAUCGGAAUCUACUUUUUCGUGGGGGAUAACGUAGGGAAACUUACGCUAAUACCGCAUACGACCUACGGGUGAAAGCAGGGGAUCUUCGGACCUUGCGCGAUUGAAUGAGCCGAUGUCGGAUUAGCUAGUUGGCGGGGUAAAGGCCCACCAAGGCGACGAUCCGUAGCUGGUCUGAGAGGAUGAUCAGCCGCACUGGAACUGAGACACGGUCCAGACUCCUACGGGAGGCAGCAGUGGGGAAUAUUGGACAAUGGGCGCAAGCCUGAUCCAGCCAUACCGCGUGGGUGAAGAAGGCCUUCGGGUUGUAAAGCCCUUUUGUUGGGAAAGAAAAGCAGCGGGUUAAUACCCCGCUGUUCUGACGGUACCCAAAGAAUAAGCACCGGCUAACUUCGUG